rnacentral:lncRNA from 1 species
GCAGGGCACGUCUGGCUUUUACCACCCAGUUGCUUCGAGCCAGGAGAUGGAGGAGUCAUCUGUUGCACGCUGGAGGCUGGAGCCUGCAGAUGGCAUGGUUCUGUGGCUCACCUCGCUGCAGUUGGUGGCAGAGACAGAGACUGCAGCUUGACCAGAGUGGUGGAGUGGUAGGAGAGUGUCUGCGGGGGCCUCCUGGAGGUGAUAUGUAUCUCAAGAGCACUCCACAACAAAGAUUCUGCCUGCAAUCCUCCACUUCAAGGUCUGUUCCAGGAAACCUGUGUAACACAGUUAUGCAUAGAGUGGUCUUAGGAAGCUGACUCUAACAUGAAAAUUUAGAGUUGGAUCUUUUGCUGACAUAUUGAAUAUUCAUAAGAGCAUAUGAUACAUUUGUCUAUCAUAAACAUGUCAUUUCAAAAAACCCUCAAAGUUGCCUUGUAGAACAUAAUUUUAAAACUAGUGUGUAGGAAUAUUUCAUAUCAGUUAUUCAGUCUUCUUAAUAUCUGAACCGAAAUUAAUCUUCCAUUCUGCUUUUAUUUAUAAAUAAUGAUUUAUUGUCAGAUUCAAUAAUUUAUAUUUUCAUUUAUUCUAAGGUAGGAAAUACCAGCAUAAAAAUAAAUUAUUUGAAACAAAUCACAUUGUUGUCCCAUUUUACCAUUACUCACAUGUAGAAGAUAUUGUUUUUAACAAAAACAAUAAGAGAAACAGAAACUACCAUUUAUUAACUGAUGCUUACUGGAAGCUUUAGAAGGAUCUUAUUUAACUUUCAAUCAAGUUUUUCAUGGACAUUUUUGUUAUUGAGAAAUAAUUUUAAUUUAUCAGAUCCUCAAAGCAAAUUAUAUAGGUGCCAUUAUUAACAGAUUUUUUAAAAAAACCUGAUUCAUAGAAAAGGUUAAUGAUAUGGUUUGGAUCUUUGACCCCAUCAAAUCUCAUGUUGAAUUGCAAUCCCCAGUGCUGGAAGUGGGGCCUGGUGGGAGCUGAUUAAAUUAUGGAGGUGGAGUUCUCGUGAAUGGUAUAGCACCAUUCCUUUGGUGCUGUCUUGUGGUUGAGUUUUCAUGACAUUUGGUUGUUUAAAAGUUUGUGGCAUCUUUCCCAUCUCUCUCUUGCUCUUCCUGCAGCCAGGUGAAGGGCUGUUCCCCCUUUGCCUUCUGCCAUGAUUGUAAAUUUCCUGAGGCCUCCCCAAAAGCUGAGCAGGUGUCAGCAUCAUGCUUCCUUAACAGCCAAUGGAAUUACGAG